ACCUUUCUAACUCCCGUCUCUCUCGCGAGUCGCGUCUGUCUUCCUCGGUCCCGCCCGCCACGGGCCGACCCCGCCGCGCCCGCCCACGCCACCCGCCGCGGCUGCCCCUGCCCCGGCCCCGGCUAGGUAGCUCCUCUUCUUCGGCUCAGCCGUCAUGCCCCCUCGCGCGUCCAUGCUGCAGCAGCAGCCGCCUCCUCCCCCGCACCCGCAUCUGCACAGCAUCGGGGGAGUAAAAAAGUCCAUGUCCAUCAGCAGCACUCAACUUACAGCCAGCAAAGCCCGGACUAGCUAGCUAGAAGCAUUUGCAGGUCAAUUGUUUAACUUCUGAAACGUCUCAUCUUCUUUCAUCGAUAACUUACAUAAGGAUAGUGGUCAGCCAUAAUAUUUUGGAAUAUCAUCUUCCUUAUAAAAACAGCAACUAGCACAGGUCCAAGGGAUACACGUCCCGGUGCCCCCACCUCCCGUUUAUUAUCCUUGGUCUUCACCUCCACCUACACCUACAUCUCCAUCUACCGAACAUCAGACCCCUCCAACUACCUUGCCGACGCAUGAACGAGAAGAUGGGUUAGGCUUUGUCGAAACCCUCUUCGCUAGUGGAGGUAUCGACCAUCACUCGUCACUGUAACCCGAUGGUGAUCGGCGACCGUGAGCUUCCAUGUUAUUGUGUUCUGAUACUUGAGACUUUUAUUAUGACUAUGUAUAAGAUAUUAUCUCUUAUUAGUAUUGGAUGAUGAGAUGUAUCUUAUUAUGACUAUGGAUGAGACUUUUGUGAUGUAAUUGAUGAGACUAUGGAUUUAAAUAUUGUUAUGUGA